rnacentral:rRNA from 1 species
UACGGAGGAUCCAAGCGUUAUCCGGAUUUAUUGGGUUUAAAGGGUGCGUAGGCGGCCUAUUAAGUCAGGGGUGAAAGACGGUAGCUCAACUAUCGCAGUGCCCUUGAUACUGAUGGGCUUGAAUGGACUAGAGGUAGGCGGAAUGUGACAAGUAGCGGUGAAAUGCAUAGAUAUGUCACAGAACACCGAUUGCGAAGGCAGCUUACUAUGGUCAUAUUGACGCUGAGGCACGAAAGCGUGGGGAUCAAACAGG